rnacentral:rRNA from 1 species
GGCUCAGGAUGAACGCUAGCGGCAGGCUAACACAUGCAAGUCGAGGGGCAUCGGGAGUAGCAAUACUGCCGGCGACCGGCGCAAGGGUGCGUAACGCGUGAGCAACAUGCCCGUAUCAGGGGGAUAAUCCAUGGAAACGUGGUCUAAUACCCCAUAGUAAUUAUGUAAGGCAUCUUAUAUAAUUUAAAGCUUUGGUGGAUACGGAUUGGCUCGCGUGACAUUAGCUAGAUGGUAAGGUAACGGCUUACCAUGGCUACGAUGUCUAGGGGUUCUGAGAGGAAGGCCCCCCACACUGGAACUGAGACACGGUCCAGACUCCUACGGGAGGCAGCAGUGAGGAAUAUUGGACAAUGGAUGGAAAUCUGAUCCAGCCAUGCCGCGUGCAGGAAAGACGGCCCUAUGGGUUGUAAACUGCUUUUGUAUGGGAGCAAUAAGGGCUACGCGUAGUCCGAUGAGAGUACCAUACGAAUAAGCACCGGCUAACUCCGUGCCAGCAGCGGC